GACGAACGCUGGCGGCGUGCUUAACACAUGCAAGUCGUACGGUAAGGCCCUUUCGGGGGUACACCAGUGGCGCACGGGUGAGUAACACGUGAGUAACCUGCCCACAACUUUGGGAUAACGCUAGGAAACUGGUGCUAAUACUGGAUAUGUGCCCCUGCUGCAUGGUGGGGGUUGGAAAGCUCCGGCGGUUGUGGAUGGACUCGCGGCCUAUCAGCUUGUUGGUGGGGUAGUGGCCUACCAAGGCGGCGACGGGUAGCCGGCCUGAGAGGGUGACCGGCCACAUUGGGACUGAGAUACGGCCCAGACUCCUACGGGAGGCAGCAGUGGGGAAUAUUGCACAAGGGGCGCAAGCCUGAUGCAGCAACGCCGCGUGCGGGAGGACGGCCUUCGGGUUGGAAACCGCUUUCAGCAGGGACGAAGCUUUUUGUGACGGUACCUGCAGAAGAAGCACCGGCUAACUACGUG
rnacentral:rRNA from 1 species